GCGCACCAGUCGAGAAACCUCCGCAAUGCGGGCAACCGCGACGGGGGACCCCCAGUGCCGUGGCAUCGCCACGGCUUUUCCGGAGUGUAAAAAGCACCGGGAAUAAGGGCUGGGCAAGGCCGGUGGCAGCCGCCGCGGUAAUACCGGCGGCCCGGGUGGUGGCCGCUAUUAUUGGGCCUAAAGCGUCCGUAGCCGGGCCUGUAAGUCCCUGGCGAAAUCCCACGGCUCAACCGUGGGGCUUGCUGGGGAUACUGCAGGCCUUGGGACCGGGAGAGGCCGGGGGUACCCCUGGGGUAGGGGUGAAAUCCUAUAAUCCCAGGGGGACCGCCAGUGGCGAAGGCGCCCGGCUGGAACGGGUCCGACGGUGAGGGACGAAGGCCAGGGGAGCGAACCGGAUUAGAUA
rnacentral:rRNA from 1 species